ensembl:rRNA 5S_rRNA 5S ribosomal RNA
GCUUACGACCACACCGGCCUGAGUACGCCUGAUCUCGUCUGAUCUCGGAAGCUAAGCAGGGUCGGGCCUGGUUAGUACUUGGAUGGGAGACUUCCUGGGAAUACCAGGUGCUGUACUUU